CAUGAUAGUAGGUCUGGUCAGUAUGUAAAAUCACAAAAGUCAUGGCUAGAAUCAGGUUUGAGGUGAGAAUGGUGUUCAGAAAACGCUGCAUGUGACUUUUUACAAAAGCUGUUUUCAGGCCUCAAUGCUGCCUGGCAGAUGGAGAAGGAUUAACCCUGUUCAUGAAGCUUUCUAUGCAAUCAUACAGUGACCACACACAAGUGUCUACUGACUGCCACUGGACUUGCGGCAGUAGAAGCUAAGUACUCCAUGUACAGAAUGAGUAUGAUGAAAUGAGAAGAAAUACUUAAAGGGCUGGAAUCAGAAUGGACACCUGUAUCCCCAGAUCAAUGACUGCCAUAACAUUUGACCUGAAGAAGAAAUCUUUGAUUCAGCAAGGAACUUGAGGCUACUAAGCAUUGUAACAAAUCCUUUCCUCAGCAAAAGUGCUUAAUCACAUGUCUACCCUUAACUGCUGAAUUGAGGAGUUGAAUGAAGUGUCAGGUGUAAUCAUGUGUACUGAUGGUAGUGAUUUUGGUAAGUGAUGUGAGAAACUGAAAAUUCUUUUUAGAAUGAAGCAUAUUACUUUCUUUGGAUUUUUAAUCUUAAGCUUAAAUUUUUAGAAUUUUUUAAAAUCAUGUAAGUAACGU